rnacentral:rRNA from 1 species
GAUGAACGCUUGCGGCGUGCCUAAUACAUGCAAGUCGAGCGAACGGACGAGAAGCUUGCUUCUCUGAUGUUAGCGGCGGACGGGUGAGUAACACGUGGAUAACCUACCUAUAAGACUGGGAUAACUUCGGGAAACCGGAGCUAAUACCGGAUAAUAUUUUGAACCGCAUGGUUCAAAAGUGAAAGACGGUCUUGCUGUCACUUAUAGAUGGAUCCGCGCUGCAUUAGCUAGUUGGUAAGGUAACGGCUUACCAAGGCAACGAUGCAUAGCCGACCUGAGAGGGUGAUCGGCCACACUGGAACUGAGACACGGUCCAGACUCCUACGGGAGGCAGCAGUAGGGAAUCUUCCGCAAUGGGCGAAAGCCUGACGGAGCAACGCCGCGUGAGUGAUGAAGGUCUUCGGAUCGUAAAACUCUGUUAUUAGGGAAGAACAUAUGUGUAAGUAACUGUGCACAUCUUGACGGUACCUAAUCAGAAAGCCACGGCUAACUACGUGCCAGCAGCCGCGGUAAUACGUAGGUGGCAAGCGUUAUCCGGAAUUAUUGGGCGUAAAGCGCGCGUAGGCGGUUUUUUAAGUCUGAUGUGAAAGCCCACGGCUCAACCGUGGAGGGUCAUUGGAAACUGGAAAACUUGAGUGCAGAAGAGGAAAGUGGAAUUCCAUGUGUAGCGGUGAAAUGCGCAGAGAUAUGGAGGAACACCAGUGGCGAAGGCGACUUUCUGGUCUGUAACUGACGCUGAUGUGCGAAAGCGUGGGGAUCAAACAGGAUUAGAUACCCUGGUAGUCCACGCCGUAAACGAUGAGUGCUAAGUGUUAGGGGGUUUCCGCCCCUUAGUGCUGCAGCUAACGCAUUAAGCACUCCGCCUGGGGAGUACGACCGCAAGGUUGAAACUCAAAGGAAUUGACGGGGACCCGCACAAGCGGUGGAGCAUGUGGUUUAAUUCGAAGCAACGCGAAGAACCUUACCAAAUCUUGACAUCCUUUGACAACUCUAGAGAUAGAGCCUUCCCCUUCGGGGGACAAAGUGACAGGUGGUGCAUGGUUGUCGUCAGCUCGUGUCGUGAGAUGUUGGGUUAAGUCCCGCAACGAGCGCAACCCUUAAGCUUAGUUGCCAUCAUUAAGUUGGGCACUCUAAGUUGACUGCCGGUGACAAACCGGAGGAAGGUGGGGAUGACGUCAAAUCAUCAUGCCCCUUAUGAUUUGGGCUACACACGUGCUACAAUGGACAAUACAAAGGGCAGCGAAACCGCGAGGUCAAGCAAAUCCCAUAAAGUUGUUCUCAGUUCGGAUUGUAGUCUGCAACUCGACUACAUGAAGCUGGAAUCGCUAGUAAUCGUAGAUCAGCAUGCUACGGUGAAUACGUUCCCGGGUCU